GAUUAGAAUUUAACGACCUUUACGAGGAACAAUUGGAGGGCAAGUCUGGUGCCAGCAGCCGCGGUAAUUCCAGCUCCAAUAGCGUAUAUUAAAGUUGUUGCAGUUAAAAAGCUCGUAGUUGGAUUUCUGGCGGAGUGUCCUCCGGCUGACAGUUCGUUUGGUCCGGAGCGCUCCACCAUCCUUCUGUUAACCGUCACGGGAUUUACUUCCCGAGUCGGGGCUCAGAUAUUUUACCUUGAGAAAAUUAGAGUGUUUCAGGCAGGCUAGCGCCGGAAUACAUUAGCAUGGAAUAAUGGAAAAGGACUUCAACCUCUUCUGUUGGUCUGAGAGGCUGUAGUAAUGAUUAAUAGGGAUAGUUGGGGGCAUUAGUACUUGACUGUCAGAGGUGAAAUUCUCCGACUUGUUAAAGACUAACUUAUGCGAAAGCAUUUGCCAAGGAUGUUUUCAUUGAUCAAGAACGAAAGUUAGGGGAUCGAAGACGAUCAGAUACCGUCCUAGUCUUAACCAUAAACCAUGCCGACUAGAGAUUGGAGGUCGUUAUCUAUACGACUCCUUCAGCACCUUAUGAGAAAUCAAAGUC
rnacentral:rRNA from 1 species